rnacentral:rRNA from 1 species
AUUGAACGCUAGCGGCAGGCCUAACACAUGCAAGUCGAACGAGUGGGGGACGGGAUAGUACUGUAUGGGAAACUGCCCGAUGGAUGGGUACAACUACUGGAAACUGUAGCUAAAUCCGCAUAACACGGGAUGUACCCAGUUGGGAGUAGCUAGUGGGUGGGGUAAAGCCUCACCAAGGCGACGAUCCCUAGCUGGUGUGAGAGGAUGACCAGCCAAACUGGAACUGAGACACGGUCCAGACUCCUACGGGAGGCAGCAGUGGGGAAUAUUGCACAAUGGGCGCAAGCCUGAUGCAGCCAUGCCGCGUGUAUGAAGAAGGCCUUCGGGUUGUAAAGUACUUUCAGCAGGGAGGCGUUACCCGCAGAAGAAGCACCGGCUAACUACGUGCCAGCAGCCGCGGUAAUUC